ACAGCCUUUCAUCUUCAAUCGUUACCUUUUUGCUGUAAGCAAUUUGAAAAGAUGCCACAAGAUCUUCCUGGGUUCUAAUAUGAUGCCGAAAAGAACCGGUAUUUCCCGCUUAAAUCGCCCAUUCCGGGUUCUUCUUCUUCUUCCAGACCCUCUUCUUCUGCUUCCACCAGUGCUCAAAAACCACCCCCAAUAUCCAGUAAGAAACAGGGGAAGCAUGUCAAAGUUGUUAAGAUGGUUCAUGUGAGGGAGUUGUGUGGUAACUCAAUCAUAUCUAA